UUGAAAAAGUGGUCAUUGAGGGGAAUGCCAGCCCCAGUAUCAGAGGUGGAAGAGUCAGUGCCACCGUUAAAGUCGCAGGAGACAACCUGGUCCUUGGUGUGCCCCAGGAUGCCCUUGAGGGGGUCCUCUGAUGCCUGCGUCACCACCUUCUAGAUGUGAUUGUAUUUG
rnacentral:lncRNA from 1 species